rnacentral:rRNA from 1 species
UACGGAGGGUGCGAGCGUUGUCCGGAAUCACUGGGCGUAAAGGGCGCGUAGGCGGCUCGUGAAGUCAGUGGUGAAAGCCCAGGCUCAACUCUGGGUCGGCCACUGAUACUCGCGAGCUCGAGUUUGGUAGAGGCAGAUGGAAUUCCGGGUGUAGCGGUGGAAUGCGUAGAGAUCCGGAAGAACACCGGUGGCGAAGGCGGU